UCACCUCUUCCCAUUCCGAACAGAGAAGUUAAGCCUGCCUGCGCCGAUGGUACUGUUACUUACGGGAGAGUAGGUCGUCGCCAGUU
rnacentral:rRNA from 1 species